GCCGGGCGUGGUGGCUCACACCUGCAAUCCCAGUACUUUGGGAGGCCGAGAUGGGCAGAUCACAAGGUCAGGAGAUCAAGACCAUCCUGGCUAACACGGUGAAACCCUGUCUCUACUCNNNNNNNNNNUUUUUUUAGUAGAGACGGGGUUUCACCGUGUUAGCCAGGAUGGUCUUGAUCUCCUGACCUCGUGAUCCGCCCGUCUCGG
rnacentral:SRP_RNA from 1 species